rnacentral:rRNA from 1 species
UACGUAGGGUGCGAGCGUUGUCCGGAUUUAUUGGGCGUAAAGAGCUCGUAGGCGGUUUGUCGCGUCGGCCGUGAAAUCUCCACGCUUAACGUGGAGCGUGCGGUCGAUACGGGCAGACUUGAGUUCGGUAGGGGAGACUGGAAUUCCUGGUGUAGCGGUGAAAUGCGCAGAUAUCAGGAGGAACACCGGUGGCGAAGGCGGGUCUCUGGGCCGAUACUGACGCUCAUGCACGACAGCGUGGGGGAUCAAACAGG